rnacentral:rRNA from 1 species
GGCUUCUCGCUAUCACUUCUGGAUGGACCUGCGGUGCAUUAGCUUGUUGGUGGGGUAACGGCCUACCAAGGCGAUGAUGCAUAGCCGAGUUGAGAGACUGAUCGGCCACAAUGGGACUGAGACACGGCCCAUACUCCUACGGGAGGCAGCAGUAGGGAAUCUUCCACAAUGGGCGCAAGCCUGAUGGAGCAACACCGCGUGAGUGAAGAAGGGUUUCGGCUCGUAAAGCUCUGUUGUUAAAGAAGAACACGUAUGAGAGUAACUGUUCAUACGUUGACGGUAUUUAACCAGAAAGUCACGGCUAACUACGUGCCAGCAGCCGCGGUAAUACGUAGGUGGCAAGCGUUAUCCGGAUUUAUUGGGCGUAAAGAGAGUGCAGGCGGUUUUCUAAGUCUGAUGUGAAAGCCUUCGGCUUAACCGGAGAAGUGCAUCGGAAACUGGAUAACUUGAGUGCAGAAGAGGGUAGUGGAACUCCAUGUGUAGCGGUGGAAUGCGUAGAUAUAUGGAAGAACACCAGUGGCGAAGGCGGCUACCUGGUCUGCAACUGACGCUGAGACUCGAAAGCAUGGGUAGCGAACAGGAUUAGAUACCCUGGUAGUCCAUGCCGUAAACGAUGAGUGCUAGGUGUUGGAGGGUUUCCGCCCUUCAGUGCCGGAGCUAACGCAUUAAGCACUCCGCCUGGGGAGUACGACCGCAAGGUUGAAACUCAAAGGAAUUGACGGGGGCCCGCACAAGCGGUGGAGCAUGUGGUUUAAUUCGAAGCUACGCGAAGAACCUUACCAGGUCUUGACAUCUUGCGCCAACCCUAGAGAUAGGGCGUUUCCUUCGGGAACGCAAUGACAGG